UCUGCUUGAGUUCCAGGACAGCCAAGGC
rnacentral:piRNA from 1 species